CAGAAAAUAGUUUAAUUUAAAAUAUUAAUUUUGGAGAUUAAUGAUAAAAAAAUAUUUUUUUUUCUGA
rnacentral:tRNA from 1 species